CAUACUUCUUGUCUUCAUUUUCUUAAACAGGAUAUUUUCUCGCAGAAAAAGAAAGGAUAAUAAAAGGUUUCCUUUCUCCAAACUUUUAAAGAACAAAUAAAGAAAUCCAAUUUCA